CAGCUCUUGAGAGAGGCUCCUGGAAGGCUUCAGGGAACCUGUCCUCAAGAAGGACACUCACUAAUUUCCCCCAUGCCUACAAGGAGACAACAUAUUCCUGUAUCCUGACCAGGUAGCAUAGAUUUGGCAAGCCCCAAGGCAUUUCAGUGGGAGUUCAAAAGAAAUCAGACAAAGGUAAAGUGAUGUGAAACCAUGCCAUAAACCUGCAGGAGCCUGUCUGGCUGAUGUAGCAGGUUCCACUUUGUCAGCUUUGAUGGGUGCACUUAAAACAUUUUGAUAACACGACAUUCCCCGAUGUCCAAGUACAGCUCAAGCAGAGUGCACCAGCUGUUGCUUCGACUGCUGAUCAAGAAUCUCCCAGAUGAAGACAAUCUUAUAUAAACCUGCUAUGAAAAUGAAAACCCUCUCGUGAGGUUAUAUUUUCCCCAAUUACUCUGUCUGCAUUCAUGUGGUGGAAACUUACAAGAACAACCCUGAAAACAUCCUGGGACAUGAGAGGGUCUUCUUCAUUGCAAAGCAGCCCUUCCAUUAGAACAGGAGGUUCCCUC